rnacentral:rRNA from 1 species
CUCCUGGAAACGGGUGGUAAUGCCGGAUGUGCCGGGCUCCUGCAUGGGGGUCCGGGAAAGCUCUGGCGGCGUGGGAUGGGGUCGCGUCCUAUCAGCUUGUUGGCGGGGUGAGGGCCCACCAAGGCUUCGACGGGUAGCCGGCCUGAGAGGGCGACCGGCCACAUUGGGACUGAGAUACGGCCCAGACUCCUACGGGAGGCAGCAGUGGGGAAUAUUGCACAAUGGGCGCAAGCCUGAUGCAGCGACGCCGCGUGCGGGAUGGAGGCCUUCGGGUUGUAAACCGCUUUUGUUUGGGAGCAAGCCCUUCGGGGUGAGUGUACCUUUCGAAUAAGCACCGGCUAACUACGUGCCAGCAGCCGCGGUAAUACGUAGGGUGCGAGCGUUAUCCGGAAUUAUUGGGCGUAAAGGGCUCGUAGGCGGUUCGUCGCGUCCGGUGUGAAAGUCCAUCGCUUAACGGUGGAUCCGCGUCGGGUACGGGCGGGCUGGAGUGCGGUAGGGGAGACUGGAAUUCCCGGUGUAACGGUGGAAUGUGUAGAUAUCGGGAAGAACACC